UAGGGAAUCUUCGGCAAUGGGGGCAACCCUGACCGAGCAACGCCGCGUGAGUGAAGAAGGUUUUCGGGUCGUAAAGCUCUGUUGUAAGUCAAGAACGAGUGUGAGAGUGGAAAGUUCACACUGUGACGGUAGCUUACCAGAAAGGGACGGCUAACUACGUGCCAGCAGCCGCGGUAAUACGUAGGUCCCGAGCGUUGUCCGGAUUUAUUGGGCGUAAAGCGAGCGCAGGCGGUUUGAUAAGUCUGAAGUUAAAGGCUGUGGCUCAACCAUAGUUCGCUUUGGAAACUGUCAAACUUGAGUGCAGAAGGGGAGAGUGGAAUUCCAUGUGUAGCGGUGAAAUGCGUAGAUAUAUGGAGGAACACCGGUGGCGAAAGCGGCUCUCUGGUCUGUAACUGACGCUGAGGCUCGAAAGCGUGGGGAGCGAACAGGAUUAGAUACCCUGGUAGUCCACGCCGUAACGAUGAGUGCUAGGUGUUGGAUCCUUUCCGGGAUUCAGUGCCGCAGCUAACGCAUUAAGCACUCCGCCUGGGGAGUACGACCGCAAGGUUG
rnacentral:rRNA from 1 species